CUCAGCUGUCUCAGUCCCCCCAGCCUCCACAAACAUCCCCUUCACACACAAACCUCUCCAGCCAUGUUUUUCCCAGCAAGACCUUCCCGUCUGCUGAAUUUACUUUUUAAAAUCACUAUGGCUGAUUUCUUUAAUUAUUUUUUAUUCUCCCCAGUGCCGGCACCAGGGCACAUUGGGCAUGGUGCUAUAGCUCCCUAUGGGUGGGAGGGGAGGGCAGGAGGGGACGGUGUUGGCCAGGACAGAUGUGAAAUUUCAGAGCGGAUGGAGUCUGGAGCAGAGUUGAGAAGAGCUCUGGCUGUGUUUACACGAAGCCAUUCCAGAGCUGUUUGCUUCUGCCUGUGUUUAUCCACAGACCUUCGUGCUACCAGAGCUUUGGCCCCACGGAUCACUGAGGGUUGGUGGAGUUUGUCGUGCUGAGUGGGUGUAUACGUGAGAGAGCAUUUAUUUGCUGUGAGCGGCUGCCAUUUCCUCCCCCGCGGACCUUUUCCAUCCAACUGGGGAUGGGAGCAGCUCCUUUGAGGCCGUGACGGCUCUCAGUUGGCCCUGGGGAGCCCACAUCCAGGGCUCUCUGCACCUGGCCCAGUGUUCCCAUGUCCCUGCACGGGCACCAGCCCAUCAUUUCUGCCCCCUGGGGCCGCCCCCGGCUGUGCCUCUGCAGCCCCACUCCCACUGCAUGGACCAUGUCCAUGGGGUGGAUAGGGAAUCACAGAAUCAACAAGGUUGGAAAAGACUUUGAAGAUUCCCAAGCCCAACCCCAGCCCACCCCCACCAUGCCCACUGCCCACGUCCCUCAGUGCCACGUCUCCAUGGCUCUGGGACACCUCCACCUCCACCACUGCCCGGGCAGCUGUGCCAGAGCAUCACCUCUCUUUCAGAAAACAAUGCUUCCCAGCAUCCAACCGGAACCUCUCCAGCACGAUUUGAAGAGCACGAAGAUGCUGAAGAUCUGAGGAUGGAGAUGAGGGAAAACGCUUCCUGGCAGGUCUGGCUGCUGGGAAUGGCUGUGCCUUGCAGGUCUCCCUGCGGGCAGUACUGCCCGAGAUGGGACAACAAACCCCAGGAGAGCCGGGGCUGCUCAGGAGGCCACUUCCCCCUCUGAGCAUCCUCCCAGUGCCUCUCCCCUCUGCUGAGCCAUUGCACAAGAGGGGCACUGGGGCCGCUCUUCCUCCUGUGCAUGACGUUUUCCUGCUCGUGCUCCCCACCAGCAACGGCUGCAACUGCCCCGUGCCUCCAGCCCAUGCUUUCCCUUAAUGAUUUCCCAGCGUGUGAUGGAUACGCUGCAAUUAUGAGUAUGAAUCACGAAGAUUUGCAACGUUUAUAAUUAAUAAUCUCUCUUGGAGAGGGAGCUGAAGCGGGCUGCUGUGGCACAUCCCUUCUCUAAGAGGUUUUCAACUCCACAUUCAUCAUCCGACUGCUCUUUAAGGGAGCUCAGCCCUUCCCAGGCACCGCGAUGGCCCCAGGAUCCUCUGCCAUGGGGACACGGCUGCAGGCAGCAGGCUCCAUCCUAUGGCUCCUGUGCUCUGUUUUCCCUCUGGGGGUGAGCAGCUCAUGUUUUCUCACAUUUUUCUGAAGUCACUCUGUGUUUUUAGAAGGGCGCACUAAGCUGGGAAGGAUUUUUUCGCAGCAGUGUGUUUGCUUUGGGCACUGCCUCUGCACCGCCGUGCUCCGACUGCUGUUUUACACUGUGUUGAACUGUGUUGUCCCCCUGCUCGGAUUUGCUACAGCCUUGCUGCAACCAGAGGGCACGGGGGCAGGGCAGGAUUGUUUGGCCGAUGGAGGGCACAGCUUUGCCAGGCGCGGGGAGGAAAACAUGGAGCAUCACAGCCUUGGCUUUACCCCAGGGCUCUGCACUGGGCAUAUGUUUCUAACAGGGAACAUCUCUGGGGGAAGUGUCCAUUCUUGUUGGGUGUCACCAUGAGGUCCUCAGCCUUCCUGAGACUCUUGCAGGGUGUUUCUCAGAAAAUGGAGAUGGAAAUAUUCAGCGUUGGCAUAGAGAUGUUCAGCACUGGGAUGGAGAUGUUCAAACUGGGAUGGAGAUGUUCAGCAUUGGGAUGGAGAUAUUCCGCUUUGGGAUGCAGAUGUGUGGCACUGGGAUGGAGAUGUUCAGAUUUGGGAUGGAGAUAUUCAGCAUUGGGAUGGAAAAGUUCAGCACUGGGGGUGGAGAUGUUCAGUGUUGGGAUGGAGAUACGCAGCACUGGGAUGGCGAUGUUCAGCACUGGGGUGGAGAUAUUCAACACUGGGAUGGAAAUGUUCAGCAGUGGGGUGGAGACAUUCAGCAAUGGGAUGGAGAUAUUCAGUGUUGAGAUGGAGAUGUUCAACAUUGGGAUAGAGAAGUUCAACACUGGGAAGGAGACAUUCAGUGUUGGGAUGGAGAUAUUUGGCAUGGAGACAGAGAUGUUCAGCAGCCAUCAGCAGCCUGCUUGCCCAGCCCAAACUCACCCGAAGUGACCACUGCCCUGUAGCAAGAGUGGAGGACGUUCAAACCCUUAAUUUUGGACCAGGUGAAAUCUUCCUUAUCAUAAAAAGGAGACGGGGUGGGGGUGUCCGCAUUUCCCAGCUGGGUGUCCCUACAUCCCACAUCCCGCCCAGGCUCUGCUGGUGCCACCAGGAGGUGGGAGAUGUGGGGGCAGCAGGAGCAGUGGGCUGUGCUCUGGGCUGGGCUGCUGAGCCCACAAGUAUGGGGAAAUAGCUGGGAAGAGCCAGCUGGCCCUGCUCCUCCAGCACUGCUGCAUCGCCUGGCCGGGGAAUAGUUGAAGCUUUGCCACGAGGAGCCUGGCUGUGUUGCAAAGCCCUUCCCAUUCCCUGGGAAUUGGGCAGCAGAGAGAGCAAAACGCUGGAGACCUCAUCCUGGCUGGAGCCGUGUCCUGUUGUCUUCAGCACACAUGUAAUUAUGGUGCACAUCAUUCCAGUGAUACGACCCCAGGGCUCUGCGUCCCGUGAUCCAGAAUGCUGGGGACAGGUGACACAGCAGCCAGUGCUAAGGCCUCCAAGGGGCCCAGCUCCGGACCCAUACCCAGCUGCAAAUCACAGGGCGAGGAAAGAAGGACCCAUAGUGCUUCUGGUGGCUUUCCCUUAAUAGAUCCUGGGUUUUGAUGUCAUGCUCAUACUUUUGGAUUCCGCACCCCAUUGCACUGAGUGCAUCAUCCCAAUAAACAGCCCCCAAGGUAAACCUGAGCUGUGCAGGGAGGAAAAUGACCUCAAACCAACUCCUGGUGCUCCUAAAGGGCUGCUGCACCUGCAGUGCCUCACUGCUGCCUCCGUCCUGAGCCAACAGGAACAGCAAUAGGUGCCUUUGGGUCCCUGCUGACCCCAGCCCCCUGGGUUUGUGCUCUGUAGGGUUGCAAACUUGUAUUCGUUGCACUUUUCAUUCAGAGCCAGCAGGGUUAUGUGCACUCUGGGUGUGAGCUGGGCUCGUGCCCACACUUGGCCAUGGGUUGGGUUUCAACACCUUUUGGAAACCGCAUUCUCCCCAGGGCAGCCAGCGGUGGCUCGGGGAAAAAAGGGGUUUUUAGCAGGAGGGAAACACGGAAACAUGUGGACUGGAACAGUGCUCUGUGCUCGUCAUUGCCACCGAGGAACCAGAUCCAGAUGCCUCCGGUGCCUGCUGCCUGCUUGGCGACACAGCUCCGGGUGUGUGCCAGGCUUUCAGAGCGGGAUGCCCGCCAUAGGGAUGUGCUGCAUCCCUCAGCCCCUUCCCCCUCGUAUCCCUUAAUUAACAGAGCCAGCAGCGGGCGCACUGGGGAUGUGGUGGCAGGACGUGGGGUCACCAGAGUGCAUGCUGCCUCAGGCUCCAGCUGUGCUGAUGUCCCGUGAGGGCUGGCAGGCCUGCACCUGGCCGGGUGACUCAGCACAGCCCCGGGAGCCAGAGGGCUGCCCGGCUCUGCAUAUGCAAUAGUUGCCUAUGGGAGCGGGCUGAGUCACUGCGUGCCCGCACAGCUGGUGGCUGUGAGCAUAUCUGGCUGCCCUGCAGGAGCAGAGCUGCUGUCCUGGCUGCUGCUGUGCUCACAGCCAGGCAGGGCCGUGGGGAUGCGAUGUCUCCAAGCAGCUCAGCCAAAAAAGCCCUGUAGACCCCACACACCAUGCAGGUGGCCGGGAGCUGGCCCUGCCCCUGCCCUGCUCUGUCCCCUGGGCUGGGUGGCCCCCAUCACUGCCCGUGGACAUUGUCACUGUUCCAGCUUUGCUCCUGAAAACAUUUGCAGUUAUUUUUGGGCAGUAUCUGCCUUUCUAAAUAUUUGCCUUGGUGUUAGCGCCUGGCCUGCUUGCAGAUGGGGCUCCCUCCUCUGCUCACCUCUACCCCGAGAUAAGGUCUCCCAGCAGAGCAUCCUCCAGCUGCACCCCUGGGGUACCCCGUGCCCAGGACCCCACCUCUCCUCACAGACCCCACAUCCCCCAGGGUGCCCAUAGGAUCACCACAUCCCCCAGGGUGCACACAGGGUUACCCAGAGCAUUUCGAGGGUUACCCAUCCUGAAGAUGCCAUUUGUCAGCACAG
rnacentral:lncRNA from 1 species